UUAUGGAGAGUUUGAUCCUGGCUCAGGAUGAACGCUGGCGGCGUGCCUAAUACAUGCAAGUCGAGCGAACCACUUCGGGGGGAAGCGGCGAACGGGUGAGUAACACGUAGGUGAUCUGCCCAUCAGACGGGGACAACGAUUGGAAACGAUCGCUAAUACCGGAUAGGACGAAAGUUUAAAGAUGCUCCUGGCAUCACUGGUGGAUGAGCCUGCGGCGCAUUAGCUAGUUGGUGGGGUAAAGGCCUACCAAGGCGACGAUGCGUAGCCGACCUGAGAGGGUGAACGGCCACACUGGGACUGAGACACGGCCCAGACUCCUACGGGAGGCAGCAGGAGGGAAUCUUCGGCAAUGGGCGAAAGCCUGACCGAGCAACGCCGCGUGAAUGAAGAAGGCCUUCGGGUUGUAAAAUUCUGUUAUAAGGGAAGAAAGGUGAUAGGAGGCAAUGACUAUCAAUUGACGGUACCUUAUGAGAAAGCCACGGCUAACUACGUGCCAGCAGCCGCGGUAAUACGUAGGUGGCAAGCGUUAUCCGGAAUUAUUGGGCGUAAAGAGCGCGCAGGUGGUUAAUUAAGUCUGAUGUGAAAGCCCACGGCUUAACCGUGGAGGGUCAUUGGAAACUGGUUGACUUGAGUGCAGAAGAGGGAAGUGGAAUUCCAUGUGUAGCGGUGAAA
rnacentral:rRNA from 1 species